rnacentral:lncRNA from 1 species
GACAUCGUUCAUGCCCAUAGUAGUACGACAAAGCCUCUAACCCGAAUCAAGUAACAUCCGGUCGGAACAUGCCCCCGACCAUAGCCAAAAUCAAAAUUCAAGAAAACAAAAAUAAUGAAAAGGAGUCCAUAGCAUAAAAUGGAACUUCCGAAGUAUAAAAGCCCACCACUUCAAUUUGACUCAAAGCUUUUUCUGAAUCCAAGUCAAUGAGUAGGAGGAAUAGUAGUAUGACCGGUUCCUGUAUCGCGUAGGGAUACAACGCCCAAAGACAAUUACCAGAGUGAACGCUAGCAUGUACUCAGGGAUAAAGAUAAAAUAAUGUCAUUAUUAAAAAUCCAAUCAAAUGACCUUAUGCAAUUACACAUAUACAUAUAUAUCAUGCGGGGAUAGGAAACCGAGUUUAACAUACAUUUAAAACCUUAACCUGGGUUGUGUAGCUCUGCCGUCCUAAAUGUCCACCUACAAGCUAUAUGAGUUCAGCUCUCUCUGCUGAAAGGGCUUCGGUGUGUGUUAGCAGCACAAACCAGAGAAAAAAAACUAAGAUGACUAGUAAAUCUCCCAAAAUAUAAAGUGGGACAUCAUGCACACAGUCACUAUAUCAAAC